rnacentral:ribozyme from 1 species
UGCCCAGCAACUCCUAUUCCUACCUCCACGUGGUGAAACUAUGAGCAACCUUACGGAAGAUCGGAAAACCAACCCCGGUGGGAACUUUGGUCAUAGGCUGACAGGAAAGG